GUCAGUUAAAUAAUUUCACAUUUUUAAUGUUUACUUUUGUGGCAAUUCAAUAUUAUAAUAUAUGGUUACAUAAAAAGCUAAGUUGUUUUAAAACUUAGCUUUUCAUAAUAGUAUGACAUGGGCCUUUUGGGGAUUGUGGAUAAUGUAUCAGCAUCAUUCAUUGAAUAGAUAAUUUGCUAAUGCCUUGAGUUUAUUUUUUUUUUGCCCCUCUACAGGAGCUUGACUCCAAGACAACGGG
rnacentral:misc_RNA from 1 species